rnacentral:rRNA from 1 species
GACGAACGCUGGCGGCGUGCUUAACACAUGCAAGUCGUACGGUAAGGCCCUUUCGGGGGUACACGAGUGGCGAACGGGUGAGUAACACGUGAGUAACCUGCCCACAACUUUGGGAUAACGCUAGGAAACUGGUGCUAAUACUGGAUAUGUGCUCCUGCUGCAUGGUGGGGGUUGGAAAGCUCCGGCGGUUGUGGAUGGACUCGCGGCCUAUCAGCUUGUUGGUGGGGUAGUGGCCUACCAAGGCGGCGACGGGUAGCCGGCCUGAGAGGGUGACCGGCCACAUUGGGACUGAGAUACGGGCCAGACUCCUACGGGGGGCAGCAGUGGGGAAUAUUGCACAAUGGGCGCAAGCCUGAUGCAGCAACGCCGCGUGCGGGAUGACGGCCUUCGGGUUGUAAACCGCUUUCAGCAGGGACGAAGCUUUUUGUGACGGUACCUGCAGAAGAAGCACCGGCUAACUACGUG